rnacentral:rRNA from 1 species
GAUGAACGCUGACAGAAUGCUUAACACAUGCAAGUCAACUUGAAUUUGGGUUUUUAACUUAGGUUUGGGUGGCGGACGGGUGAGUAACGCGUAAAGAACUUGCCUCACAGCUAGGGACAACAUUUGGAAACGAAUGCUAAUACCUAAUAUUAUGAUAAUAGGGCAUCCUAUAAUUAUGAAAGCUAUAAGCGCUGUGAGAGAGCUUUGCGUCCCAUUAGCUAGUUGGAGAGGUAACGGCUCACCAAGGCGAUGAUGGGUAGCCGGCCUGAGAGGGUGAUCGGCCACAAGGGGACUGAGACACGGCCCUUACUCCUACGGGAGGCAGCAGUGGGGAAUAUUGGACAAUGGACCAAGAGUCUGAUCCAGCAAUUCUGUGUGCACGAUGAAGUUUUUCGGAAUGUAAAGUGCUUUCAGUUGGGAAGAAAGAAAUGACGGUACCAACAGAAGAAGUGACGGCUAAAUACGUGCCAGCAGCCGCGGUAAUACGUAUGUCACGAGCGUUAUCCGGAUUUAUUGGGCGUAAAGCGCGUCUAGGUGGUUAUAUAAGUCUGAUGUGAAAAUGCAGGGCUCAACUCCGUAUUGCGUUGGAAACUGUAUAACUAGAGUACUGGAGAGGUAGGCGGAACUACAAGUGUAGAGGUGAAAUUCGUAGAUAUUUGUAGGAAUGCCGGUGGGGAAGCCAGCUUACUGGACAGAUACUGACGCUGAAGCGCGAAAGCGUGGGUAGCAAACAGG